CCUGGCCGCACACGAUGAGGCAACCGGCCAAAUUCUCGCCUCCGCCGGCCCAUUACGCGUCGCCCGCGCCCUCGCUGCCGACGUUUGGCUAUCUGCACUCGCGGUUUAGCGGCGAGACUACACCAAUGAGCAUAUCGCAGGCGGGAGGUGGCAGGGGCCCUAUGCACCAGCACCAUCGGAACCUGUCGGAACCCAGUAGGGCCUUCAUGUUUCCUCCACCUUCGCCAAAAAAUCUGCGAGGGGAGGCAGGGAGGCAGGAGUCACCUACAGAGACCAAUCGGUCGUUCAAGAGGGCAGAUGACAUCUGCAUGGGAGAUCUCUAUGCAAACUUGUCGUCUGGUUAUAAGGUGAUUUUACUGCAUUUUGUCCAUAUUAAAACUAGGUGAUGAUGUCUGUGUGCUCAGAUGAAAACAUAGGGUAUGCAGAAGUAUCAUAUUCGAACUACUCCGUACUACUUAGUAAGACCUUCUAUUAGUUUAUAUGAUAGUGCAUUGAGUAGCGAAGGACGACUGUUUUUUUAUCCUCAUCAGAAAGACUCGUGGAUAAAAUAUUGUGUGUUAAACUACCUGGCAUACUGUUCAUUCUGUUAUCUCUUUCAGCUUGUUUGGGAAUUGUGAACCUUAAGAUUUAGUUAGUGUGUUCAGCCAUUGGAGCUUCAAUUUAAGGGCAGGCAUUUUUCGUUGGAAGCUAUUUUUUCAGUAUUUUUCUUUACCUGGAAAGUUUGACAGGGGUUUCUGAUUCGUUUAGAUGAAGAUAAGGAUUCAAUAGUCACUGCUACUUUUAGAAAUUAAAGAAACAUAAGCCCACUGAGGGCUUGUUCCGUUAGGGUGGAUUGAGGGGGAUUGGAGGGGAUUAAAUCCUUCCCUAUUCAAUUUUCAGGUCCUGAAACGACAGACAAACAGUUGAGGCUGACUACUGUUGCCAAAACUGCAUUAUGCCAAAGAUAGUCGGCGCUAAACUUGUAGCAGCAUCUAGGUGUCUAACAACUGAACUAUAACAGCAUAAGCCUUUGUUGUCUUAUCUUCUUGGAAUUGGUUUUGAUAUUUCUAGGAUACUUAGUGCCUUAUUAUGGAAAAUCUUGUCAUUUCUUCUUUUCCAAAUGUUUUACCAUGCGUAGAUGAUAGGCCCACUAAAUUAUUGCAAUCAUUUUUUAGAUAUUUAGCCACCGUGAACUAUUAAUUGAAUCCAGUAAGUUUAUUAUAUAUGCAUUUUAUUUAGGAACAACUUAAACUAAACAGACAGCUAUGGACAUGAUGCAUUUGCAUAGUUUGAGUGCUUAGCCAGGCUUCCCUUUGGCUUGUAAGGUCUGGAGACCGGAGAGACGAUGAAUUUGAACUGCCAAAUAUGACAAAGUGGCUGUACUCUUUUGCCGUUGGAUGUUUCAUUUGGCAUGUACUUCUAUACUCUAUUUGACUCCAAAUAAAAGUCCAUAUGUACUCAUGAACAAGAAUUAUAAUGUAGUGCAUAAUAUUGCCUAAUCAAUAAACAUUAUAAGGUAGGUGAUUUGCAUGUUAGGUCAGGUGAAGGGAAUAAUAGGAAACAUUACAAAAGACACUGUUGCAUUUGUAUUUCUAGAAUAUUAAGGAAAAGUUGAUGGACUUGUAUUCAAGAAUAAUGAUUACAAAGAUGCACUGAUAUUAGAAACGUUUUGACUUUUUUUUUUCUUCCAAACUAAGCCGAUGUUAUUUUUCAUUGCUUCACAGAUCCACACUAAGGAAACAAUAGGUUGAGUGUGUCUUUCUCUCCAUAACCUUUGCUUUUUCAUAUAUUUGUCCUUCCUUGGUAGUUUCGUACCAGAAUACCUUUUGUGACUGGUUGCCAAAUUUGCAUCCUAAAAAAUACCUUUAGAUUAUCAUAUAAUUAUACUUCUGAAAGGUUCUCAAAGCUUGAUGAUUUUUAGUGUGGGAAUGUCAUCUUUUCGGAAAGAGAAACACCCCCAUACAAAGCAACAUCUCCGCCAUCAACGCCCUCCUCCCCCUCCGCUCAGCUCCUCCUCGCCCUUUCGUCGUCUCCGUGAUCUGCUCUGCCAUCAACGCCCUCCUCCCCCUCCGCUCAGCUCAUCCUCGCUCUUUCGUCGUCGCCGUGAUCUGCUGCCUCCAUCAACGCCCUCGUAUUUGGAAUAUAGACGGAGGGGCUGCUAUGGUAAACAAGACACAUAUGGUGCCACCUAAAUAAAAUUUUUGUUUCUGGUUAUAUUUGUCCCUGACAUGUCAAGAGAUUAGCGUUGGGUUGCAGUCAUGCGAUGUUUAAGUCUCCGAGAAGGCAAGAAGUCAUUGCCAUCAUUGCACAGAUCUCAAAAGUGAGAGGUAGUUGUUGCCAAAAGAUGGGAAAUAGAUGUAUUUUUCAUGAAAAAAGGGUUGGCAUAUGAACAGUUUGUGUUUUGUGAUAUAUUUCACCAAAAGGAAUCAGGAUGGAGAGACUGCUCAUUUUGUGGCAAGCGCCUCCAUUGUGGAUGUGUUGCUUCAAAGAACUCCUAUGAUCUACUUGACAGUGGAGGAAUUAAAUGUGUCACUUGUAUGAAAAAUUCAGUAGCUCAGUUUGCUUCUGGCCAAGUGGUUCCAAAGCUUUUUCCAUGUCCAAACAAUCUGCUGUUUUUUGGUAAAAGCGACGAGUUAUUGUCAAGUAGAAAAUUUGGACAACCACCCUCUCUUAUGUUGGAUUCCAGAAAUGAUGAUAUUGCUAUUGUAAAUAAGAGUAAUCACUUGUUCAUGGUAAGCGGCAUAGAGGCUGGACAGAGCAGUAACAUCUUGAGACAAAAAGAGAUAGAGAAUGGUCCAAGGCAGAUUAAAUGGGAACAACCAACCCUUAAUAUUGGGGACAUGGGAAGACCUUUACUAACUAGGUCUCAAAGUGCAUUAGAGUCACCUCAGUGUACUCGAAGAGAUGACAAUAAGGAUCCAACUACAGAUAGCACAACAAGUGAAUCGUUUCCAGAGGCAUGUCUGAGCAUGAACCUAGGUAUUGCAAACAAUGGAAACAGGAUGGAGGCUACUUCAACAGCGGAAAGACCUAUGCUAUCGCCAACGACAGCCAUUGCUGAAGGAAGAGAUCUUGCCACUGCACUGUCCCCCCACAAAGGGCUCGGCAUUUCCCGACCAGACCACCAAGGGUUGGUGAGGGUGCAACUUUUGAUCCAACUAGAGACAUGUUUCCGCAUCUUCGUGUUGCUAGACCACCUGCUGAAGGAAGGGGUCGCAAUCAAUUACUUCCUCGGUAUUGGCCAAGAAUAACAGACCAAGAGCUGCAACAAAUAUCUGGAGAUCGUUCCAUUGUUCGAGAAGGUCCUGAGUGCGAGUGAUGCAGGCCGCAUAGGGCGCCUUGUUCUUCCAAAAGCUUGUGCCGAGGGAGCUCGUGGCAAAUGCAUCCUCACAACAGGACGAUGGAGCUCAAGGCGUCAAGUGGUGGCUCACUCGGACUCGCGCUCCUCUGCAAGACACUGUUCCCCAUGAGGGUUUCCAUUACCAUUGCGCUCGCAUCGCCUGUCACUAGAGCUCUGAGCCAUUAGAGGCUCGUUAAUUUAUGUAAAUUUAUGUUUUGUUGCAAUGCACGGGCACAUACCUAUAAGAUACUAAGAUCGAAGAUAAUAUAUAUAUCGUUUGUUUUCAAGUAUU